UCUCACUAGCUAGCAAGUAGCCAAUCAAAACCGAAUAUAUCUUCUUGCUUUGUAAUUGUCUUUUAAGGGUUGUCACAUCAUCAAAUUACGAUUUUAUAUACUAGUAGUUCCAUUUUCUUUUCUUUUUCGCCAAUAAGAAAGUUAGGAUCGAUAUCACAUAUCAGUAGCGUAAGAUAUUCCUACUAUGAGUUCCAAGCCACACAUAUCAUCCUGGGAAGUACAAGUCAUCUUCGAAACACAUAUUCACAUCUCAAUAAGAACGAGGGUCGUGUAGGGUACUAUAGUUGAGGUGUGAUCAAAGCUCAGACUUAUCGUUGAAAGCAAUCAGGGAUGCUGGCUGUGAGAAGAUUACCAUGGUGCAAGAGGCAACUCUUUCUAUGAUUCUAAAAGGUCACUAAGAGAAAUUGUUGUAGAUAUGUUGUCUGCUCUUGUUGGGUGCUUUUAUUAGUAUGGUUUAUAUAUAAUCAAGAAAUUGUUGGAUAGCUCGUGUAAUGUAUUGUGCUAGUUUGCCAGUUAUGGUUUUCAUGUUGCUGAGAUAGUGGGAUGAGAUGGGUUAUUCAUUAUGACGGGAGAUGUCCUUCCAUGUUUCGAUGCCUCCAUUAUGAAUCUUGUAGAGGAUGCUUUGUACAUCAUCCAAAAUUCCUAUAACUUUUGACAUUGCUUCUAACCAUGGGGUUGUCACGGGUGUCUUAAAGGCCUUGUUUAGAAGCUCUGUCUCCUAUCAGUUUAGUUGAGAAUCUCCUGCAGAAACCUAGUCAGGAGGAGCUUGUCCAAAGUCAGGCUGUUCUUGAUGAUGGGAAAUUAUUUUUGGACACUGGUGGCAUAGCAUUUGAUGGGUUGAGCACUUGAGCUUGUCAAUUUUGCAUAGUCUGCUGAAUCUUUGAUCCUGCAGCUUCUGGAUAGUAUAAAAGAGGCAAGCUUUCUUUCAAGUUUCAACUAUUAGCACUCCUUCAUUUUCUAUUCUAUUUUUAUCCAUCAGACUAAUUCUUGUGACAUGCCUUAAGAUUUGAAACAGUAAUAAGUACCUCAAAUUAUGAACUCUCUAACAGGAAAGCUAGUACGUUCUUCGUCGUUUCCUGUUCUCUUUUAUUAUGUCACCCAAGUUAAGCAAAUAAGGAACUAUAUGUUCCUGAUACCCUAACCAAAUUACCAUAAGCUUCUGUAUUACGGACAACGAACGCAGCUUGAUCUGAUUAUAAGUUCUUAUUUGCUUACAAUUGAACUACUGAAGCAGUGCUCAAAUUGUUUACCAGUUUUGCCAGUCUCUUGGGUAGUCAACAUGAAUUAUCUCAUUGCUUAUUCAGUAUGACAUGCCUUUGAUUAGCAGUGUGGUGCUUGGUGGUAAAAAAUGUGCUUCUUGUGUGUCUUUGUUCAACGUGAAGACACCAAGUUUGCGCUGUUUGAGAUGGGAGGUGUCACAUGUUUCCAAUCCGAUUACUCAUACCUUUCAAUCAAUAAAUUUGGUUGAAGAAUUCUGCAGCAAGGACAAAGUUUCACGCAGUCUCAUCUGUGAGAACUGAGAAAAAGAGAUCCUCCUGCAAAAAGUUGAGCAAACCUAAUGGCUUCUUGUCCGAUGAGUGAUACUGAUACAUAAAUCUAGUCAUUAUGUUGUAAACUAAGAGUGUUUGACUGAUUGGUACUCCCUCCGUCCCAAAAUUAUUAUUUUUUAUUUAAAUAAAUGUUGUAUGGAAAUAGAUGAUUUUAGGAGAGAGAAUGGAUAAUAAUUGAUGAAAGAGCAUUAAUUGUGA